rnacentral:rRNA from 1 species
CGGCGGACGGGUGAGUAACGCGUGGGUAACCUGCCCUAAAGCCCGGGAUAACACCGGGAAACUGGUGCUAACACCGGAUACCUUCCGAAGAGGGCAUCCUUUUUGGAAGAAAGGUUAACGCUUUAGGAUGGGCCCGCGUCCCAUUAGCUAGUUGGUGAGGUAACGGCUCACCAAGGCAGUGAUGGGUAGCCGGCCUGAGAGGGUGGACGGCCACACUGGGACUGAGACACGGCCCAGACUCCUACGGGAGGCAGCAGUAGGGAAUAUUGCGCAAUGGGCGAAAGCCUGACGCAGCGACGCCGCGUGGGUGAUGAAGGCCUUCGGGUUGUAAAACCCUGUCCUUGGGGAAGAAGAAAGUGACGGUACCCAAGGAGGAAGCCCCGGCUAACUACGUGCCAGCAGCCGCGGUAAAACGUAGGGGGCGAGCGUUGUCCCGAAUUACUGGGCGUA